rnacentral:rRNA from 1 species
UGCAUGUCUCCGUGCAAGCCACUUUAAGGUGAAACCGCGAAUGGCUCAUUAAAUCAGUUAUGGUUCCUUGGAUAAUUUCCAGUUACAUGGACAACUGUGGUAAUUCUAGAGCUAAUACAUGCAAUCAAAGUCCCGUCCGGAGACGGUAGGGACGCUUUUAUUAGAUCAAAACCAAUCGGUAUUCUCGUGGGGCUGGCUCGUCCUCCCGCGGGUUGCCGUUGGACUUGGUGACUCUGAAUAAAUCCACGCCGAUCGCACGGUCUUGGCACCGGCGACGCAUCUUUCAAAUGUCUGCCUUAUCAACUGUCGAUGGUAGGUUCUGCGCCUACCAUGGUCGUAACGGGUAACGGGGAAUCAGGGUUCGAUUCCGGAGAGGGAGCCUGAGAAACGGCUACCACAUCCAAGGAAGGCAGCAGGCGCGCAAAUUACCCACUCCCGGCACGGGGAGGUAGUGACGAAAAAUAACGAUACGGGACUCAUCCGAGGCCCCGUAAUCGGAAUGAUAACACUUUAAAUCCUUUAAAGAGUAUCCAUUGGAGGGCAAGUCUGGUGCCAGCAGCCGCGGUAAUUCCAGCUCCAAUAGCGUAUAUUAAAGUUGUUGCGGUUAAAAAGCUCGUAGUCGUACUUGUGUCCCACGCUGCCGGUUCAUCGCUCGUCGGUGUCUAACUGGCAUGCCGUGCGGACGUCCUGCCGGUGGCCUUAGCGGGGCCCGGUUCGGAACCCUCUCGACUCGUGGUGCGCGGCGUGCGCUCGGCCUUCAGUCGGUCGGACGCGUCGUCGUUAGCGGCCAUGGCCGGGAUGGGGAAAGGCCGGCGCCGUCUGCGAGGGCCUGCUACUCACCCCUCGAGGUGCUCUUGACCGAGUGUCUCGUGGGGCCGGCACGUUUACUUUGAACAAAUUAGAGUGCUUAAAGCAGGCAGGAUUGGCCUGAAUACCGAGUGCAUGGAAUAAUGGAAUAGGACCUCGGUUCUAUUUUGUUGGUUUUCGGAACCCCCGAGGUAAUGAUCAAUAGGGACGGACGUGGGCAUUCGUAUUGCGACGUUAGAGGUGAAAUUCUUGGAUCGUCGCAGGACGGACGGAAGCGAAAGCAUUUGCCAAGAACGCUUUCUCUGAUCAAGAACGAAAGUUAGAUGAUCGAAGGCGAUCAGAUACCGCCCUAGUUCUAACCAUAAACGAUGCCAGCCAGCAAUCCGCCGAAGUUCCUCCGAUGACUCGGCGGGCGGCCUUCCGGGAAACCAAAGCUUUUGGGUUCCGGGGGAAGUAUGGUUGCAAAGCUGAAACUUAAAGGAAUUGACGGAAGGGCACCACCAGGAGUGGAGCUUGCGGCUUAAUUUGACUCAACACGGGAAACCUCACCAGGCCCGGACACCGUGAGGAUUGACAGAUUGAGAGCUCUUUCUUGAUUCGGUGGGUGGUGGUGCAUGGCCGUUCUUAGUUGGUGGAGCGAUUUGUCUGGUUAAUUCCGGUAACGAACGAGACUCUGGCCUGCUAAAUAGUCGCAUCCGGGAUCCUUUGCGCUCCUGGCGAGGACACAUCUUCUUAGAGGGACAGGCGGCUCUUAGCCGCACGAGAUUGAGCAAUAACAGGUCUGUGAUGCCCUUAGAUGUUCUGGGCCGCACGCGUGCUACACUGAAGGGAUCAGCGUGUUUUUUCCCUCUCCGAAAGGAGCGGGCAACCCGUUGAACCCCCUUCGUGCUAGGGAUUGGGGCUUGCAAUUUUUCCCCAUGAACGAGGAAUUCCCAGUAAGUGCGAGUCAUAAGCUCGCGUUGAUUACGUCCCUGCCCUUUGUACACACCGCCCGUCGCUACUACCGAUUGAAUGAUUUAGUGAGGUCUUCGGACCGGUGGGCGUAGGUGGCUCCGCCUCCCGCGAUUCCACCGGGAAGAUGCCCAAACUUGAUCAUUUAGAGGAAGUAAAAGUCGUAACAAGGUUUCCGU